AGCCACAGCCAUAUCACCCUGCAGCCCAAGACUGGUUGUCCACUGAAGCUAAGCAGGGUUGAGCCUGGUCAGUACCUGGAUGGGAGACCUCCUGGGAAAACUAGGUUGCUGUUGGAA
rnacentral:rRNA from 1 species